rnacentral:rRNA from 1 species
GACGAACGCUGGCGGCGUGCUUAACACAUGCAAGUCGAACGAUGAACACCAGCUUGCUGGUGGGAUUAGUGGCGAACGGGUGAGUAACACGUGAGUAACCUGCCCUUGACUCUGGGAUAAGCGUUGGAAACGACGUCUAAUACCGGAUAGGACUCCUGGCCGCAUGGUCUGGGGGUGGAAAGAUUUUUUGGUCAAGGAUGGACUCGCGGCCUAUCAGGUUGUUGGUGAGGUAAUGGCUCACCAAGCCGACGACGGGUAGCCGGCCUGAGAGGGUGACCGGCCACACUGGGACUGAGACACGGCCCAGACUCCUACGGGAGGCAGCAGUGGGGAAUAUUGCACAAUGGGCGCAAGCCUGAUGCAGCAACGCCGCGUGAGGGACGACGGCCUUCGGGUUGUAAACCUCUUUUAGUAGGGAAGAAGCGAAAGUGACGGUACCUGCAGAAAAAGCACCGGCUAACUACGUGCCAGCCGCCGCCGUAAAAC